GCGUUACAUUGCAGGGGGGCCCAGCAGCACACACUGUCUUCCUUUCCAGCUCCUCUCUGACGAGACCGGCCUAAGUGCUGUGCGGAGCGUUGCCAUGGUAACCCGCAGGAAAGUUAGACAGAGAGCAGCUGGAAAGGAAGACAGAGUGUGCUGCUGGGCCCCCCUCUGCAAUG